GAUACCCUACGGGGGGCAGCAGUAGGGAAUCUUUCACAAUGGGCGAAAGCCUGAUGCAGCGACGCCGCGUGCGGGAUGGAGGCCUUCGGGUUGUAAACCGCUUUUGUUCAAGGGCAAGGCACGGUCUUUGGCCGUGUUGAGUGGAUUGUUCGAAUAAGCACCGGCUAACUACGUGCCAGCAGCCGCGGUAAUACGUAGGGUGCAAGCGUUAUCCGGAUUUAUUGGGCGUAAAGGGCUCGUAGGCGGUUCGUCGCGUCCGGUGUGAAAGUCCAUCGCUUAACGGUGGAUCCGCGCCGGGGACGGGG
rnacentral:rRNA from 1 species